rnacentral:rRNA from 1 species
UGGGUCUCGCUCGUUACCUGACUUAACAGGAUGCUUCACAGUACGAACUGACGACGGCCAUGCACCACCUCUCAGCUAAUCCGGCAAAGUCUUCAGCCUGGCCUUCAUAUUGCUGUCGGUCCCGGUAAGAUUUCCGGCGUUGAAUCCAAUUAAACCGCAAGCUCCACCCGUUGUGGUGCUCCCCCGCCAAUUCCUUUAAGUUUCAGCCUUGCGGCCGUACUUCCCAGGUGGCUCGCUUCACGGCUUCCCUACGGCACCGACAACGGUCGCACCGUGGCCGACACCUAGCGAGUAUCGUUUACGGCUAGGACUACCCGGGUAUCUAAUCCGGUUCGUGCCCCUAGCUUUCGUCCCUUGCCGUCAGGUCCGUUCUGGUGAGACGCCUUCGCCACUGGUGGUCCUUCAAGGAUUACAAGAUUUCACCCCUUAACCCCUGAAGUACCUCUCACCUCUCCCGGCCUCGAGCCAGACAGUAUCUCCUGAAAGCCUGACAGUUAAGCUGCCAGAUUUCUCAAGAGACUUAUCCGGCCGGCUACAGACCCUUUAGACCCAAUAAUAACGGUUACCACUCGAGCCGCCGGUGUUACCGCGGCGGCUGGCACCGGUCUUGCCCGGCCCUUGCUAUGAAAUGCUUUUUAGGCAUCUCGACAGCCAGAUUUGUAACCUGGCACUCGAGGUUCCCUUAUCGCUGUUGCCAGCAUUGUAAAGUUUUCGCGCCUGCUGCACCCCGUAGGGCCUGGAUUCGUGUCUCAGAAUCCAUCUCCGGGCUCUUGCUCUCACAACCCGUACCCGUCGUAGGCUAGUAGGUACGCUACACCCACUACUACCUGAUAGGCCGCAGACCCAUCCUUAGGCGCCGGAGCUUUAAAUCUCGAUGCAUUCCAGCAAUCGAGACCUAUCGGGUAUUAUACCCAGUUUCCCGGGUUUAUACCCAACCUAAGGGCAGGUUGUCCACGUGUUACUGAGCAGUUCGCCAUGUAUUGCUACAUUCGACUCGCAUGGCUUAGCCGAACCUCGAUAGCAGUAACCUCUGGCAGGAUCAACCGGA